UACGUAGGCAGCGAGCGUUGUUCGGAGUUACUGGGCGUAAAGAGUGCGUAGGCGGUUUUCUAAGUUUGGUGUGAAAUCUCCCGGCUUAACUGGGAGGGUGCGCCGAAAACUGGAAGGCUUGAGUAUGGGAGAGGUAAGCGGAAUUCCUGGUGUAGCGGUGAAAUGCGUAGAUAUCAGGAGGAACACCAAUGGCGAAGGCAGCUCGCUGGAACGGUACUGACGCUGAGACGCGAAAGCGUGGAGAGCAAACAGG
rnacentral:rRNA from 1 species